rnacentral:misc_RNA from 1 species
AAGUCGUAACAAGGUUUCCGUAGGUGAACCUGCGGAAGGAUCAUUAACGUAUCCUGGCGGGGUGCGGCCUGCCCAGCUCCGGUCCCCUAGGGCCGUGCAGCGGGCGUCCGUCCCUGUCCCACACCUCACAAACCCACUGUGAACCUUCACGGCGGAGGGGGAAUCCGGUUAGCGCCGGGCGCCUCUGAUGCCGCAUACCAAACUCCAGUUGCAAAGAAUGUCGUGCGGACAUCGUGCCGCCUAAACACUAAACAACUUUCAACAACGGAUCUCUUGGCUCUC